rnacentral:tRNA from 1 species
GCGAAGGUGGCGGAAUUGGUAGACGCGCUAGCUUCAGGUGUUAGUGUCUUAACGGACGUGAGGGUUCAAGUC